GUAGUUGGUUGAGCUGGUCUCUCUGAGGCAAGUGCUUACCUUCUGCGCUUUCUUACCUUUCCACCUGUGCACAUUUGUAGACCGUGAAUAGACUCUCGCCUUAACAAGCGGAUUUGAAGCUUGCACGCAAGUGCUUGCUUCUACAUAUUCUCAGGUCUAUGUUUCAUACACACUUUAUAACACAUUGAAUGUUUGUUUACUGGUUGUAACAGACCUCUAAAUAAUAUACAACUUUUAGCAACGGAUCUCUUGGCUCUCGCAUCGAUGAAGAACGCAGCGAAAUGCGAUAAGUAAUGUGAAUUGCAGAAUUCAGUGAAUCAUCGAAUCUUUGAACGCACCUUGCGCUCUUUGGUAUUCCGAAGAGCAUGCCUGUUUGAGUGUCAUUAAAUUCUCAACCUCUACUCGGUUUUGCGACUGAUGUUAGUAGGCUUGGACUUGGAGGCUGCCGGCAUCUGUAAAAAGAAGUCAGCUCCUCUUAAAAGUAUUAGCAGUAACUAGAUAACUGUUCCUUGAUGUGAUAAUUAUCUACGUCUUGGUCAAUGGAAAUCAUUAUAACGUUAUGCUUCUAACUGUCUGUUAACUCAGACUGUUUGCUUGUCAAACAUUAUGACUCUUGACCUCAAAUCAGG
rnacentral:rRNA from 1 species